rnacentral:rRNA from 1 species
AGCGAACGCUGGCGGCAGGCUUAACACAUGCAAGUCGAACGCUCGUAGCAAUACGGGAGUGGCAGACGGGUGAGUAACGCGUGGGAAUAUGCCUUUUGGUUCGGAAUAACUCAGGGAAACUUGAGCUAAUACCGGAUAAGCCCGUGAGGGGAAAGAUUUAUCGCCAAAAGAUUAGCCCGCGUCCGAUUAGCUAGUUGGUGAGGUAAUGGCUCACCAAGGCGACGAUCGGUAGCUGGUCUGAGAGGAUGAUCAGCCACCUUGGGACUGAGACACGGCCCAAACUCCUACGGGAGGCGGCAGUGGGGAAUAUUGGACAAUGGGCGCAAGCCUGAUCCAGCCAUGCCGCGUGAGUGAUGAAGGCCUUAGGGUUGUAAAGCUCUUUUGUCCGGGAAGAUAAUGACGGUACCGGAAGAAUAAGCCCCGGCUAACUUCGUGCCAGCCGCCGCCGUAA